rnacentral:rRNA from 1 species
UACGGAGGAUCCGAGCGUUAUCCGGAUUUAUUGGGUUUAAAGGGAGCGUAGGCGGGUUGUUAAGUCAGUUGUGAAAGUUUGCGGCUCAACCGUAAAAUUGCAGUUGAUACUGGCAUCCUUGAGUACAGUAGAGGUAGGCGGAAUUCGUGGUGUAGCGGUGAAAUGCUUAGAUAUUGCGCAGAACUCCGAUUGCGAAGGCAGCCUACCGGCUUCUGUCUGACGCUGAGGCACGAAAGCGUGGGUAUCGAACAGG